rnacentral:rRNA from 1 species
UACGAAGGGGGGCUAGCGUUGCUCGGAUUGACUGGGCGUAAAGGGGCGCGUAGGGCGGAUAGUACAGUCAGGCGUGAAAUUCCUGGGCUCAACCUGGGGGCUGCGUUUGAUACGUAUUGUCUGGAGUUCGGAAGAGGGUCGUGGAAUUCCCAGUGUAGAGGUGAAAUUCGUAGAUAUUGGAAAGAAACACCCGGGUGGCGAAGGCGGCGACCUGGUCCGAUACUGACGCUGAGGCGCGAAAGCGUGGGAGCAACAG